CUCGGAACUCAUCCAUGGCGGAGGAAUCGAUGUGGAGAGAAGUCGACUCUCCAUUUCCCUCUUUGUUUCCUACUUCAAUAGAGCUACUUCAAUAUAUUGUUCUACUUCAAUAGAGCUAUGCAUUCGAGAUAUUAAAGUUCAAGGAAGGAAGUUUACCUCAUCAACUCGUCUCCCUUAGUUUCCAAAGUCGGAACUUGAAGCUCUCCAGAUCUGACUAAUUUAGCUCCGGACUAGUUGAAGGUUAGAGUUUCUUUGGAGAAGAGCUAGUAGCAAUUGAAGAAAUGCAAUAUUGAGGAUCCGAUUCUCCGACGACUGGUGCUCGGAACUCAUCCAUGGCGGAGGAAUCGAUGUGGAGAGAAGUCGACUCUCCAUUUCCCUCUUUGUUUCCUACUUCAAUAGAGCUACUUCAAUAGAUUGUUCUACUUCAAUAGAGCUAUGUAUUCGAGAUAUUAAAGUUCAAGGAAGGAAGUUUACCUCAUCAACUCGUCUCCCUUAGUUUCCAAAGUCGGAACUUGAAGCUCUCCAGAUCUGACUGAUUUAGCUCAGGACGAGUUGAAGGUUAGAGUUUCUUUGGAGAAAAGCUGGUAGCAAUUGAAGAAAUGCAAUAUUGAGGAGCCGAUUCUCCGGCGGGUGGUGCUCAGAACUCAUCCAUGGCGAAGGAAUCGAUGUGGAGAAAAGUCGACUCUUCAUUUCCCUCUUUGUUUCCUACUUUAGUAUUGUCUUAUCCUUACCUUUUGUUUAUUUUGCUUUGGUUUUGUAUAGAAUUGUAUAUAUUCCUUUC
rnacentral:lncRNA from 1 species